UACGGAGGGGGCAAGCGUUGUUCGGAAUUACUGGGCGUAAAGGGCGCGUAGGUGGCCUUCUAAGUUGAACGUGAAAUCCCUGGGCUCAACCCAGGAACUGCGUCCAAGACUGGGAGGCUUGAAUCCGGGAGAGGGAUGCGGAAUUCCAGGUGUAGCGGUGAAAUGCGUAGAUAUCUGGAGGAACACCGGUGGCGAAGGCGGCAUCCUGGACCGGUAUUGACACUGAGGCGCGAAAGCCAGGGGAGCAAACGGG
rnacentral:rRNA from 1 species